rnacentral:rRNA from 1 species
GAUAUGGUCAAUAGCCUAACGGCUGAACCAGCAACUUGGUGGAAUGUAUAGGGAAAACUGGUAAAAUGUGUAGUACCUAAUAAUAUUAGCUAAUAAUAUGAUAUUAACUAAGUUAAUUAAAAUUCUGAGUAGAUAUGUGAUUAUGACAAUAUCUGCUAAAGUCUUGACCAAGUCACGUGCCAGCAGUCGCGGUAAUACGUGGAAGACGAGUGUUAUUCAUCUUUAUUAGGUUUAAAGGGUACCUAGACGGUUAAUUAAGCAAUUAUUUUGUACUGAUUAACUAGAGUUUAAUGUAAGAAGGAUCGAGUACGGUGAGUGUAGAGAUAAAAUUUUGUGAUACCAUCAUGGAACUGGUAAAAGCGAAGGCAACCUUCUAUGUAAAAACUGACGUUAAGGGACGAAGGCUUAUAUGAAAUAAUAGGAUUAGAGACCCUAGUAUUGUAAGCAGAAAAUGAUGAGUGUCAUAUACAAGAACUAUGUUUUGUGUAUAAAUGAAAGUGUAAGCACUCCACCUCAAGAGUAACAUGGCAACAUGGGAACUGAAAUCAUUAGACCGUUUCUGAAACUCGUAGUGAAGUAUGUUGUUUAAUUUGAUAACCCACAAAAAACCUUACCACAAUUUGUAUAACUAUAGUAUUAUUUAAUAUAGUUACAAGCGUUGCACGGCUGUCUUCAGUCAAUGUUGUGAAACUGUGGUUAGAUCCAUUAAAUUGACGUAAACCCUUACUUUAUUUAUUAUAAAGUAGUUCGCCGCUAUAUUGGUAGUGAUAUAAGGGACUAGGACAAGUCAUCAUGACCCGAACAUUGUGGGCUAUAGACGUGCCACAUUACCCUUUACAAAAUGAUGCAAAAUUGCGAAAUUUAGCUAAUCAUAAAAAAGGACAUAAUAUGGAUUGUAGUCG